AUUGAACGCUGGCGGCAGGCUUAACACAUGCAAGUCGAGCGAGCGGCGGACGGGUGAGUAAUGUCUGGGAAACUGCCUGAUGGAGGGGGAUAACUACUGGAAACGUUAGCUACUACCGCAUACCAUCAGAUUUGCCCAGAUUGGAUUAGCUAGUCGGUGGGGUAAUGGCUCACCUAGGCGACGAUCCCUAGCUGGUCUGAGAGGAUGACCAGCCACACUGGAACUGAGACACGGUCCAGACUCCUACGGGAGGCAGCAGGGGGGAAUAUUGCACAAUGGGCGCAAGCCGGAUGCAGCCAUGCCGCGUGUGUGAAGAAGGCCUUCGGGUUGUAAAGAACUUUCAGCGAGGAGGCGGUACUCGCAGAAGAAGCACCGGCUAACUCCGUGCCAGAAGCCGCGGUAAUAC
rnacentral:rRNA from 1 species